CCCCUAGAUGUUCUGGGCCGCACGCGCGCUACACUGAACAGUUCAACAAGUCUUAACCUUGGCCGACAGGCUCGGGCAAUCUUUGAACGCUGGUCGUGAUGGGGAUAGACUUUUGCAAUUUUUGGUCUUCAACGAGGAAUUCCUAGUAAACGCAAGUCAUCAACUUGCAUUGAUUACGUCCCUGCCCUUUGUACACACCGCCCGUCGCACCUACCGAUUGAAUGGUCCGGUGAAGCCUCCGGAUUGGCGCGCACCUCGGUGCCGCCGAGAAGUUGGCUAAACCUUACCAUUUAGAGGAAGGUGAAGUCGUANCA
rnacentral:rRNA from 1 species